rnacentral:rRNA from 1 species
AACGAACGCUGGCGGCAUGCCUAACACAUGCAAGUCGAACGAGACCUUCGGGUCUAGUGGCGCAGGGGUGCGUAACGCGUGGGAACCUGCACUUAGGUUUGGCAUAACGCAGGGAAAUUUGAGCUAAUACCGGAUAUUGUCUUCGGACCAAAGAGUUAUCGCCUUUGGAUGGGCCCGCGUAGGAUUAGCUUGUUGGUGGGGUAAUGGCCUACCAAGGCGACGAUCCUUAGCUGGUCUGAGAGGAUGAGCAGCCACACUGGUAGUGAGACACGGCCAAGACUCCUACGGGAGGGAGCAGUGGGGAAUAUUGGACAAUGGGCGAAAGCCUGAUCCAGCUAUGCCGCGUGAGUGAUGAUGGUCUGAGGGUUGUAAAGCUCUUUUACCAGGGAUGAUAAUGACAGUAACUGGAGAAUAAGCUCCGGCUAACUCCGUG